AUAGAUAUUGCUUAGAACACCAAUUGCGAAGGCAGGUUACUCAGCAACAACUGACGCUGAUGGACGACAGCGUGGGGAGCGAACAGGAUUAGAUACCCUGGUAGUCCACGCCGUAAACGAUGCUAACUCGUUUGUGGGGCGCAAGCUUCAGAGACUAAGCGAAAGUGAUAAGUUAGCCACCUGGGGAGUACGAACGCAAGUUUGAAACUCAAAGGAAUUGACGGGGGCCCGCACAAGCGGUGGAUUAUGUGGUUUAAUUCGAUGAUACGCGAGGAACCUUACCAAGGCUUAAAUGGNNGAAAUGACAGGUUUAGAAAUAGACUUUUCUUCGGACAUUUUUCAAGGUGCUGCAUGGUUGUCGUCAGCUCGUGCCGUGAGGUGUUAGGUUAAGUCCUGCAACGAGCGCAACCCCUGUCACUAGUUGCCAUCAUUAAGUUGGGGACUCUAGUGAGACUGCCUACGCAAGUAGAGAGGAAGGUGGGGAUGACGUCAAAUCAUCACGGCCCUUACGCCUUGGGCCACACACGUAAUACAAUGGCCGGUACAGAGGGCAGCUACACAGCGAUGUGAUGCAAAUCUCGAAAGCCGGUCUCAGUUCGGAUUGGAGUCUGCAACUAGACUCUAUGAAGCUGGAAUCGCUAGUAAUCGCGCAUCAGCCAUGGCGCGG
rnacentral:rRNA from 1 species